CUGCAAAACCAACAAAAAAGAGUUGCUAGAUUGGUAACAGGAAAAUAAGGGGGCUACUGUGGCAUAGAGGACAAGAUAGAGAAAUGUCAGGAGUGGUUAACAGUAUUGAAUGCUGUUGAGAGGUUCCAAUAAAAUGAGAACUGAAAAUAUAUGUUUUGACUUUUCAACAUGGAGUCAUUGGUGACUUUUGUGACUCUAUCUUGGUGGGUGAAUGGACCUGCAAUUCAGAUAGAAGUAGAGAUGAAAUGAUGUUGGCAAACACAAUUUCUCUUUUGAAAACUUUGGCUGUGAAAGAGAGGGACCUAAAAUGGUAGCUAGGGGGCGUAAAGAGUUAAUUUUUAUUUUUUAUUUUUUUUAUUUUUUUUAGUGGGUGAUAUACUUAAGCAGUUGAGAGAGAGGAGAGAAAUUGAGAUUUGCUGUGCAAGGAAGACAGGAGGGAUUGGUGCCAAAGCACAAACAGGAAAUCAGGACUUUAGUAGGUUACAUAAAGCAGAAAUAGGUCAUCUAUUGCUUCACUCUUCACAGUGGUCCACAACUUCUCUGGAUGUCCUUACCAAGCCAGAGUCUAACUUUAACAAGAUCUCCCAGGUCACAUUCCUAAGAGCUUUCACAGAGGGAGUGCACUCAGGAGAAGGGAUGUGAGAAGUAGGAGAGGACAGGACAAGGAGCUAACCAGGAGUGUGGCUGCAGCUGGACCCCCCUUCAGCCAGUGACUGGGGAGCAUGAAUUGAAUCACAGAGUUGGUCCCACCUUGAGAUAACACCAGGCAGUGUUCUAUAAAAGGGUAUGAUAUGAAUUAUAUAUGGUGGAACCAGCACCUUGGAAGGCAAAUAUUUGAAUUAAAAUCACCAUUGUGAAUUGAAGUGCCAUAAAAAAUACAUAAACACAAUGGAGCUCAAAGAGGCUGAAGUGCUACUGGGGAAAGGUGUGUGAAGGGAUGAGAUGCUCUCAAAAGUCUCCUGUCAAUCUGGGCCCGACAUGGCAGGUUUAUAUCAUCAAGAUGAUCUGUUGUUAAAGAGAAGUGAAGAGGCUAUAUUUUCUUUUCAAACCUGAGUGAGGAUGUGAAUAAAUUGGCAAUUCCAUUUCAUGCAUUUUAUGAUUCUUUACUUCCUCAGAGCUUUCUAAUCUUUUUCUGGAGAUGCAGGUUUUCUUUGUUCAUUUUCCAAAUAAAAAUCUCCUUUCUUGGCUCCCCUGACAUCGACCUCCUUAGUCUUUGCCUAUAUAUCCAGAUGUCUCGUUUCACAUAUCUUUGUCCCCAGAUCUUUAAACUCAGCCACUUCUCAAGGCUCAAAUUUUGGCACCACAUCCUGAUUUAUUCUGCAUGAAGUAUUGUUUCAUGGAAAAAAAACACUUUGAUAUACAGCAUAAACUAUUUUAUAAAUAGUUUUAAAUAUUUUAUAAAUAACUAUUUUAUAAAUAACUGUGUUAUGACCAAUGUAUUUUAUUACCUAUAACUUUGCAUUGAAUAAUUGUUCCACUGUUGUCCUUAAAUGAGUUCAUGUCUUUAUAGUUGACCUAUAUUGACCAUAUCUAAUUCUUUCAAGAACAGUGACUGUCAUCAACAGGAUCCUGCACAAUCAAAGGUAUUUGUUAGAAAACUGAACUGCUUUGCUUAUGAUGAA